rnacentral:lncRNA from 1 species
AGCAGAGAAGGUUUGGGCUGAGGUUUUCUUUUACCUUGCUCAGAACAAUGUCAUGUUUGAAGGUAUCCUCCUGAAGCCGAGCAUGGUGACUCCAGGAGCCGAGUCUAAAGACAGAGCUACUCCUGAACAAGUUGCCUCCUACACCCUUAAGCUCCUCCGCAACAGAAUCCCUCCUGCCGUCCCCGGAAUCAUGGCAAGCUUUAAAUGAGUUUUUUUUUUUUUUUAUGAGGAAAACCUAGAUCUUGGUUGUUUGAGGUGAAAGUUAAGUUUUAUGUGUUUUUUUUCUGCAGUUCUUGUCGGGAGGACAGUCUGAGUUGGAGGCAACGUUGAACCUGAACGCCAUGAACCAGGCACCAAACCCGUGGCACGUGUCCUUCUCCUACGCACGUGCUCUUCAGAACACUUGCCUGAAAACCUGGGGAGGCAGAGCUGAGAACGUGAACGCAGCUCAGACCA